rnacentral:misc_RNA from 1 species
AGCAGCCGCGGUAAUUCCAGCUCCAAUAGCGUAUAUUAAAGUUGUUGCAGUUAAAAAGCUCGUAGUUGAAUUUCGGGAUCAAUAUAUCGGUCGUGCCUUGGUACGUACUGGUAUCAUUGGUUUCUCCUUUCUGACGAACCAUGAUGUCAUUAAUUUGGUGUUAUGGGAAGUUAGGACUGUUACUUUGAAAAAUUAGAGUGUUUAAAGCAGGCUUUGGCUUGAAUACAUUAGCAUGGAAUAAUGAAAUAGGACGUUCGAACCUAUUUUGUUGGUUUCUAGGAUCAACGUAAUGAUUAAUAGGGAUAGUUGGGGGCAUUAGUAUUCAAUUGUCAGAGGUGAAAUUCUUGGAUUUAUUGAAGACUAACUACUGCGAAAGCAUUUGCCAAGGAUGUUUUCAUUAAUCAAGAACGAAAGUUAGGGGAUCGAAGACGAUCAGAUACCGUCGUAGUCUUAACCAUAAACUAUGCCGACUAGGGAUCGGAUGAUGUUAAUUUUUUAAUGACUCAUUCGGCGCCUUACG